rnacentral:rRNA from 1 species
CCCUUAGAUGUUCUGGGCCGCACGCGCGCUACACUGACUGGUGCAACAAGUGUCUGACCUUGGCUCGAGAGGCCUGGGCAACCUUUGAACGCCAGUCGUGCUGGGGAUAGAUUCUUGCAAUUAUUAAUCUUCAACGAGGAAUUCCUAGUAAACGCAAGUCAUCAGCUUGCAUUGAUUACGUCCCUGCCCUUUGUACACACCGCCCGUCGCUCCUACCGAUUGAGCAAACCGGUGAAUAGUUUGGACCGUCGGCUUUCUCGGUUCGCCGGGUUAGCAGUGCGGAAAAUUCAGUGAACCUUUUUGCUUAGAGGAAGGAGAANUCGUAACA